rnacentral:misc_RNA from 1 species
UUUCCGUAGGUGAACCUGCGGAAGGAUCAUUAUUGGAUUUUGAAACUUCAGGCUGCUGCUGGCUCUCCUCGGAGGGCAUGUGCACGCUUGUUGUCCAUUAUUUCUCCCACUGUGCACAAAUUGUAGACCUUUCAGUAGGCCUAUGUUGUUUUUCACAAUCUCUGAAUGUAAUAGAAUGGUUUUGAAUCUUGGGAAAUACAAUACAACUUUCAGCAACGGAUCUCUUGGCUCUCGCAUCGAUGAGGAACGCAGC